rnacentral:lncRNA from 1 species
UGUAAGAGUACUAUGUGGUUAACCUUUGCGUCAACAUUGUUAUCUACUUGUAUUACAAUCGCAUUACUGUUUCUGUUGUAUAGUAAGAGAUGGAAGAUUGCCUUCUCUAUUUAUGGAGUAAUUCGGCGUACUAUUGAAAAAAAUGUUCGAAAGACAUACCAGUUCGACGUGUAUAUGUCUUAUGAGGGAGAGCUAGUUAAUUGGAUAAAAGAUGUCUUAGUACCAAAACUUGAGGACGAGUGGGGACUGACCAUGUGUAUAAAAGAUCGAGAUUUUCUAAUAGGUAAGAGUCUGUUGGAUACUGAGGCUGAAUGUAUCAAAAUAGUAGGUAUAUUAUCUUCCUCAUCACUCCUGAGUUCAAAUCGUCACGUGAUUGCUUGUUUGAACUCGACAGAGCAAAAUAUGAAAAAGUAACAAAAAAUUUAGACAAAAUUAUUGUAAUAACAAAAGAUAUCAUAGUAACUGAUAUUCCCUAUGAGUUUUCGUACAUUUGGAAUUAUGCCUAUGUUGUACAAUGGCCGAAAGAGGAAGAAGAUUUAAAUGAUACAUGGAGACGAUUGGAGAUGUUGCUAACGGAUUGCCAAGUUCAAAACAAAAACAAAAAGCUCAUUAGAGAUUUCAACAUUAGGUGGUUACAUUAUUAUUUAAUAUCAUUCACACGCAAAUUAUUAUAUCAACUUCAUGAAAUUAAGUAAUGAGUCAAAAAGCUCAAUAGAGAUUUCAUCAUUAGGUGACAACAUUAUAAGACGGAUUGCCAAGUUCAAAACAAACACGUAACUCAAUAGAGAUUUCAUCAUUAGGUGACAACAUUAUAAGACGGAUGGCCAAGUUCAAACAAACAAGUAGCUAGAUAGAGAUUUCAACAGAAGAUGAAAACAUUAUAAUACGGAUGGCCAAGUUCAACAAGUUCAAAACAAACAAGUAGUUCAAUAAACAUUCCAACUUAUGUGCCAACAUUAUUAUUUAAUAUUAUUCCAACG